AUCUAUUCUGCAUGCACCUUAGGAUCAACAGGUAAACACAAAUAUAGAAGAAAGAACAGUUCAGUAGUUGAUCGAUGAAGACAGUAGUCAUCACAUCAUAUCUCGUCAUUGGGUUAACAUUAUUACUACUUUUCCUUCACGCCAAUGGCACAAGACUCAUUUUGGAACAAGGAAAGAAAACCACUCAAGCCAUAACUGACACAAACAGUUCAGUAGAGGACGAUGAUAAGAAUAAUAGUUAUGGGGCAUAUGGUCAUAUCUCUGGAUCAGAAACUGAUACUCAUCGAUCGUAUCCAGGCGAUACUCGACCUCCCCACUGAAUUCCAGAGAGAAAAUAAAAAAGAUAAGAAAAGGAUUUUACCUCUUCGAUCAAUGUAUCAAAAUAAUGAACUCCAUUUGCUAAAUAAAACAAUCUUAUGUGCAAUCUGCAAUUCAAUUCAGGCGUUUUCAAUAAAAUAAGCAGACAAAUUUAUUAUGACCAC